CUCCUAAAAUAAUAGGAAAAAAAAUAUUACUCAAAGGCUAAAAUUAUAGUGUACAGUUAUUACUCUUAGGCUAAAAUGAGUGAACUCUCGUGUUACGAAUUGAUUCCAAGAAAAGAAAUCAUAACUUACUGAUUUAAUUAUUUACCCUGUUCACUUUUAUUGUAAGAAAUCAUAACAAUCAUUGCUUUGAACAUGAAACACGCCACCAUAGAUAAAUACAAAAGUAGGACCCCUUAUAUAUGCACGCCACUGAUUCUAAGAGUCUCUUCUUUCAGUUUUCAGCUAUAUUCACUCUGAAGGGCACAGACAGAAUACUAAUUUUGCUAAUUAAUAAAAAGUGCUUUUAAAUAUAAAUAUUUUGAGUGUGUCUAACCUAUUAUACUUACACAUUAUGAAUAAUGUUAGAGUAAUAAGAUAAUAAAGUGUUUUACUCACAGUGCAAAUAGGUCUAUGCUGUCAUAUCCAAUGAUUUCCUUCGUUGAUCUAUGGUCGAUUGAUGUCGAUAAAUAAUAAUUAUAGGAUUAAGGUUAUGUUGUUUUCUGUAAAAAGUAUUUAUCCCUAUAUUUAUGAAGUGUGAAUAUAUUUUGAGCGAGUUUUACUGAAGAAGAGUUUUAGAAUAAUCAAGUGAUGCCUGUUGAAACUAUUCAGUAUUCAGAAAAAUAUUUUGACGAUACAUAUGAAUAUAGGCAUGUAAUACUUCCUCCAGAUUUAGCCAAAUUGGUUCCAAGACCACAUUUGAUGACAGAAACAGAAUGGAGAAAUCUUGGAGUUCAACAAAGUCCUAAUUGGGUGCACUAUAUGUUACAUACACCAGAACCUCAUGUCUUAUUAUUCCGGAGAAAGUUAAAUCAACCUCAACCUUUAUAACAAAAUCAAUUUUGAGUAAUUUUUCAGGUUAUUUAGAGUAUUCUACAAAGUAUAAGAUCGCUUAUGCUGGUUGUAGAUGAUUUCAUUAUUAAAAUGAAUGAAACAAAAAAAAAAUAUAACUAUAUAACUAUUUAUAUCUGUAAAUUUCGUCUUUUCACACUUUGUUACCUCUCAAAAGGAAUAAAAUGACCAUCAUCAAAGUAAUGAAAUUAUGUAUAGAAUUGAGUCAUAAACAUGUUUUUUUAUCGAGAAUAAAUUAUUUAUUAUAUAAUUAUCCUAAUAAAUAAAUGAAAUAAAUUUGAA